AGCUACGAAUGAAACAUUUUAUGAAUAGGAAACCAGAAGGUCGACGGAUAUUUUUGACUACGUAUACUUACUAAGCUUCCUGCAAUUGAAUUAGAAAUGUAAUUUUAAAUACCUCGCACGGUAUUCUUCUCAUAAAAAACAAAUGAGUUUUCAAACAUUCCAAAAAUAUUUGAGGAUAAACUAAAGUAAGCCGGUUUUAGAAAUUUUGCGUCUCAAAUUGUCCAUACUGCAUUUAUUAGCCCUCAAGGUGAUUUAGCCUGAUAACGAAAGUUAAGUUUGAAACAUUUGUCUAAACAAAGGUUCAGUUCCGUAGCUAUUCCUCAAUUGUUAUUUUU